GGUGCCGCCACUGAGGGGCGGGAGACGGGCCGCGGCCGCUAGCGGGGCUGCCGGUGUCGAGCCCCGUCCUUGAGGGGCCUCGCCAGGCUCCCUCGGCUGCUGCGGAGUGGGGGGGUGUUCCCCGGCAUGGGGAGGUGUGCUGUACCGCCAUGACCCCGCGCCCGGUUGAGGGCACUCUGCGGCUGAGCUGCUCGGGCCGGGGCUGCCGGGCGGUGGAGCUUUCUUCACCGCCCCGCGCCGCCCGUGUCCGGCUGCGAAGGGCAGAGGAGCACGGAACGACUGAAAGGAGCGCUUCGGCGCUGCUCCCCGCCGCCCUCGGCCCCGCCGGGGGGCUGUGAGGGGUCCCCCCGCCCUCAGCGGCGUGCCGCCGGGCUGCCCCAGCCUGCCGCCCCCCGCACAGGGCGAGAGAGCGGGAGAGGCCCGAGGGCGAGCGGGGAGCGGGCGGGCCUGCGGAGUGCCGCCGUUCAGCUUCGCUUUUUAACCCAGCUUUCUUACUGACCCUGUUUCUGGAGAAAUGAAGGCUGCUCAGCUCUUGGGUUUUGGGAAUUUGAUUUGUUUGCAUCCUCUGUGGGUUUCAGCAUUGUUGUUAAAAUGUGGACACCAGAACUUUAUGCAGUUUCAAAUAUCCACCCCGUUAGUACUACAUACAAAGCAUCACAUUGGACGUUUACGGUGAGCUGCUGCUGUGCUAGAGCUUCUUCAGAUGAAAAUGAUCCAGAAGAUGAUCUGUAAGUCUAGUGCUUGACAUGCUCUGAAGUUGUGUGUUUUGGUGGAAGUUUUACGAGAGAUCGUCUGAUUUGCUGCAUGCUAUCUACAUUGUCAGUGACAUGCUGCAAAGGAAGAGCUGGACACGCUUGAUUGGAAGAAACAAGACUGCAGCUUCGUUUAGCAGUGAUAACUGCACAAGAGGAGCAGGCAGACAAUUCUUGCCAAGUUCUCAUCUUGCUGUUUCUUUGUGUGACCUACAAGCCAGUAAGCACCCACUGUGGUUUGAAAGAAGCCACUGAACAUUGUAAGACCAAACCAUCUCUUCAGACAUGACAUUCUUUUUGUGUCAUUAUAAUGACACAAAAUGACAUAAAUCAUGUCAUAAUUGCACGCUGGAGCUUGAUCAACCAAAUCUGAGAUGCACUAAGUUGAAACAAAGAAGUUAUUUUCUCAUUAAUUUGUUCAGUUUUUUUACACUUCAACAUACUUAAAUUAACGUUUUCUAAAAGCAAUCUCAUUUUUUUCUGAAAGUCUUGUCAAAUGUGUAGCUAAGUUCAGUAAUAAAAAGGUUGUGAUUAUAUAAAUAGCAUUUCUGCCAUAAUGGGUGUUAAAAUAUAGCAACCUCCCAUGAGCAGAUGCCAGGGAACAUUGACUUUUUUCCUGAUAAUAGGAAUACUACAAUUUUUUUUUUUCAUUAAAAGCUCCUUUUAAAUACUAACAUCAAUAUGCUUUAUCAGUAUACAGGUAAGGAGCUGUACCAUAAAAAGGUUAACCUUUGCCAAGUUGAUCACAAGAAGCACAAACAAAUUAAUGUUUGUCCCUGGAAAAGAGCACAAUCUGCUUGGAAGUUCUCAUUUUUCAGUUUCUUAAAUCCUGGACAUCUCUGAAAAAUAGAGGAUCAAAACCUGAAUUUAUCCAGAUCCAUCUGCACAUCAACCAGUCUGGCAUAAACUGCUGGGUCAGAAGCAUAAUACUCAAGUUUUGUCAUUCAGUCUUCUCAGAUUAUUAGUACUGUUUGUAUUUGCUUUGUGCUUUUCCUUGCAUGUUUUUGUUUAUUUAUCAGGAAAGUACGCAGUAAAAUCAAGAUUUUAAUAUUAAAGCAUUCCCAGCCCAUGGAGAAGGAUGUGGACCAGUUCAGGAAAGAGAGCAGUGCAAGUGCCUGCUACUACUGAAGAGGUGAUACCUGACAGUGGUUGCACAGUUCUUUGAAGUGGGGUAGCUGAGCAGGAGUCUCCAGAGAGUGCAGCUAGAUGUCAACAGGAAAGAGAUCAAAUCCCAUCACUUCACGUUUUGAAAAACAGACAACACAAGCUUGAUGAUCAGCUGUUGUGGGAUAGUGGUCAGAAGCCUGGUAGUACAAAUUAGUCAGGCUCCAAGGUGAACACACCUCUAUGCUAUCAGUCUUGGUCAGUUCUGCCCUCUUUCAAAACAUGACUUUUAGCAUAGUUCUCUUGAGGACCGUGCUACCAAAGCCAUGUCCAGUAGUUCUGGCUGCUGUUUCUUGCGACACUGCCAGUUAGAUCUGCUCCCCAGUGUGAAUCGCAUUGAGAAGUAGUCAGAAGGAAUACGGGGAAUGCAUCUGAGACAUCAGCCAAGCAAACAGUUAUCUGUAUGGAAUCGAGUAUCAAACUACAGCUACCCAGGGAAGAAUAUAAGUGCUUGUGGUGGUCGAUAAUGUUCUUAAAAAUGGUCUGUCUUGCAGAAAUGCUCAUUACCAUGGACCAUCAUUCAAAGUAAAUCCACUUAAAAAAAAAAAAAAAAAAAAAAACCAAAAACAAAAACCCAACAACCAAACCCAAGUGAAUUUCUUGCAAGAAAAUCAUCUGUAUGUUGUUGAAUACUCUAUGAAUCAUAGAGAGGAGGUAGAUCAGAUAGGUGUUCUACCCAUGCACUAGAAUGAAUCAGGACAGUGUCUGAUGGGUGUUAUGUAUUUUUGAAGUGUUGCGUCAUAUUGGAAGUUCAUUAAUAAACAAA